CCCUUUGUUUAAUUGACCUUUUGUUGCUUCGGCGAGCCCGUCCUAUCCUGUUUACCGGGAAGGGACCGCCGGAGGACCGUCACACGUCCUCUGGUCCGCGCUCGUCGGUGGCCAUCUUUAAAUUCUUACAAAACGUGUCUUAUCUGAGUACAUUAUUAAAUUAAAGCAAAACUUUCAACAACGGAUCUCUUGGUUCUGGCAUCGAUGAAGAACGCAGCGAAAUGCGAUAAGUAAUGCGAAUUGCAGAAUUCCAGUGAGUCAUCGAAUCUUUGAACGCACAUUGCGCCCUUUGGCAUUCCGAAGGGCAUGCCUGUUCGAGCGUCAUUAUCACCUCUCAAGCCCCCCUGGGUUUGACGUUGGACGGUUUGGUGUCUGGCAACGGUCACCCCUCCCAAAGAUAAUGACGGCGGCCUCGUGGGACCCCCGGUACACUGAGUUCUUCACGGGACACGUACUGGAUCAAGGGUUGACGGGGCCCCGGUCUUUGUGACCUUUCCUCCUCGGAGGGAGGGCACACUUUUUUCAAGGUUGACCUCGGAUCAGGUAGGAAUACCCGCUGAACUUAAGCAUA
rnacentral:rRNA from 1 species